GCCAUUCCAGGGUCCCAUCUGACAAGAGACACCACGAGCAACUCCCACGGUGUUCAAGGCUUGAGAAUUCACUGCCUUUAUCUUUCCUGCAUCUGCUUGCACAAUUAGCUUAAACCGGGUAACCAAUGUGUCAGCUACAAAAUUGUCAGUGGCACCUGUGUCUACCAAAGCACUAGCAUUUUUCCCAUUGAUGAGUAAGUCCACAUACAUCAAUCCCCUCUCCGCAGUAGCUGUUGGUUUUUGU
rnacentral:misc_RNA from 1 species